UCAGGCAGGCCACCGUAGCAUGUUUCCCGGUACCUGAAAAUAGAGGAAGAAAGGAAUAUUAAUAAAUAAUUGCGGAGAAAUGAUGGAACGAUAUUACCUUAUGGCCUUCUACCAAGAGCCACGAAGUAAACAGAUGGUUUUCGCCCAGCUGACGCGUAGAGUUGCCAUUGCGUAUGUUAUUUGCCAUUGCAUAUGGCGAAUUACUACACUGGGUGAGAUUGUUGUUGGGCGGCUAUACGACGAUAAAGCGGUUUUCAUUCAUAUAAAGUAGCCGCUCCAAACGAAAAGAUUUAAGAGAAUUUAAAUGUUAGCUAUUGGGUUACAAAUGUUCUAAAACCGGAGUUAAUGCAUAAAAUCAAUAUGGCUAUUAACUCAAGAUGGCUAAUUUUUAUGAUUGAGUGAGAACAAAGUAAUAAAAGAGGGUUAAUUAGGCAUUUUGGCGUCAGUUGAAAAGAAAAGUGCAUGACAUUAUAUCUGAGAGAUGUGUAUUUAAAUUUGAAUUGCAAAGUAAUAAUAAGGAAGAGAAAAUUCCAGUGGGUGUUUUGUGUGUCGACAUAAGUCGUUUUGCUGUUUUAAUCGAGACUGUGAGAAAUAAAUAAAGAUACCAAAUAAGAUAAAAUAAAGCCUCCUGGACGAG